AUAUGCGAUUAUAUCAGCACCAACACACCGGAUCCCAUCAAAAUUUUGAAGCUAAGCAUGCUUGGUUGAGACUUGAGAGUAGUACUAGGAUUGGUGACCCCUGGAAAAUCCUCGGUAUUGCAUCCC
rfam:Nicotiana attenuata strain TT chromosome 7, whole genome shotgun sequence.